AGGCUUAACACAUGCAAGUCGAGCGCCCUUUAGGGGGAGCGGCAGACGGGUGAGUAACGCGUGGGAAUCUACCUUUUGCUACGGAAUAACGCAGGGAAACUUGUGCUAAUACCGUAUGUGUCCUUCGGGAGAAAGAUUUAUCGGCAAGAGAUGAGCCCGCGUUGGAUUAGCUAGUUGGUGGGGUAAAGGCCUACCAAGGCGACGAUCCAUAGCUGGUCUGAGAGGA
rnacentral:rRNA from 1 species